GUGUUGUAAGAAUGAGUUAAGCAGCUUUGCAGAAUACUCAGCUGGGAGUAUGGAACAUGGAACAGCUGAAACAAGCAAACAUCAGCAAGGAGAUCCAAAGUGCCAGGAAAGAGAAGCAAAUGAUCUUGGGAGGCUGGAGCAGCCACAGGUGUCUUUGCAGCUCAGGAAAGGUGGAUCCUAAGGAAAUGUGCUGCGUGGUCUUUCUAGGGACCGAGCUGAAGCUGUCCAGCAUUUAGUUCCUCGGAUCUUCCUCUGCACCCUUCUUGAAGAUGACUGUAAUAGUUACCCCCAUUCAUUGGACCUCCCUGGAUCAUCACAUGUUCUGAGGAUGAUGUAGCUUCACAGUCACAUCACAUCACAUCAUAGGUCGCAUUUAUCUCUGUAGACAUGAAUACACACACUUUAUCUAAAUAGUCCUUAACUCUCCUACUUUUGCAUUUCCUCCUUUCUCAGACUGUGCAGGUGUGUGUGUAGGUCUGGGAACUUUUGAAGACUGAGGCAAAAAAGCCAUUGAGUAUUUCAGCCUUCGCCCUACUGUCUGCCACCAGGUUAUCUCCCCCAUUCAACAACAGCUUCACUUUUCCUUUGCACCUCAGUUUGCUCCUAGCAUGCUUACAGAAUUAUUGUCAUUUUACCCUUUAUGUCAUUCAGCAGUUUCAGCUCCAACUGGGCUCUGUCUUUCCUGUUACCAUCCCUAAUAGCCUAAGCAAUGCUUUUGUACCCCUCCUUUGUUAUCUGUGUUUCUGCUUCUUGUAUGUUUUCUUUUUUGCGUUUUAAUUCAUUAACAGCUCCUUGCUUUGCCAAUUGGGCCUCCUGCUGAAAUUUCUGGUUGUAUAUGAAAUCAGCCCAGCCUUUAAUUAGAAUUAGAGGAUGUUUUGUUAGUACAUCUAUAUUUUCAUUAUUUUUAGACUAAGUUCUGCCACUGGUCAACUUGUAGAUCUUGUAACCUAGUUUUUAUGACAAUCCUGCCCUUCAGGAACCACUUGAAAUCUGAAUUAUUCCCCUUUGUUUUUCAUUCAGUAAUUUGGAGUUUUGCUUUAACACAAUGCAGAUGUUGUUAAGGUGACACUCACUUGUAACCUUUGCAAGAAGCAAAUGUAGCUUAGGUCAAACUGACCUAUCUUUAUUCAGAUCACUAAUGCAUACUUGUGUAUUUUUAAGCCUGUAUUAUCAUACACCAUGGAAUGUGUUUAUUACACAUGCAUAUUGCAUAAGGGCAUGACUUUUGGUGGACUCAGCUUUUAAUAAAACAAUGUUUUUCC